rnacentral:rRNA from 1 species
CCUACGGGGGACAGCAGUGGGGAAUAUUUCACAAUGGGCGAAAGCCUGAUGCAGCAACGCCGCGUGAGCGAUGAAGGCCUUCGGGUCGUAAAGCUCUGUCCUCAAGGAAGAUAAUGACGGUACUUGAGGAGGAAGCCCCGGCUAACUACGUGCCAGCAGCCGCGGUAAUACGUAGGGGGCUAGCGUUAUCCGGAAUUACUGGGCGAAAAGGGUGCGUGGGUGGUUUCUUAAGUCAGAGGUGAAAGGGUACGGCUCAACCGUAGUAAGCCUUUGAAACUGGGAAACUUGAGUGCAGGAGAGGGGAGUGGAAUUCCUAGUGUAGCAGUGAAAUGCGUAGAUAUUAGGAGGAACACCAGUGGCGAAGGCGGCUCUCUGGACUGUAACUGACACUGAGGCACGAAGGCGUGGGGAGCAAACAGGAUUAGAUACCCCUGUAGUC